AUGAAGAAGCAACAAAAUCUUUUGUACAAUGUACUCAACCCCAUGGCACGUUUACAAAUUGUAGUUAGCAUGAGCGCAGAUCUAUCUUAGUGGACAACGACGGGAACAUGGAGGCGAGCAAGGCGGCUGAAAACCAGCAAGAGGGAAUUCUCUACGACCUUCUGCAGCCUGCGGAGUGGACGCUCGAUCCAGAAUUGCCCGCCAAGUCCACAUCCAGGCAGUUUCCAUGGAACCUUGCACUCUCUGCACGUGAUGCUGGUUCGACACUGUGGUCCUUGGCCUCGAGUCCGUUCAGAUGGCCAUCUCACACGACCACACUGCAGCAGGUUGUGGCACAGAAGCUGCCAUGGAAGCUAGCUAUUUCUCCCGACGGUCUCUUUCUGGCCAUUCUACAAGAUCGCCAUGUCGAGAUCAGACGAUGUGUGGAUCGGGAUGAGGAUACGUCCGUGUUGAUCGCUAGGUUCGACGUUCAUGCUGACAGCCAGCCUCACUGGAGGAGAAUUUGCUGGGAUGCGUCAUCGUCGUUUGUUGCAUGUUCAUUCAGCUGGGGAGAAGUCUGCGUGUAUGACAAGUUUGGACAGGCCGUGGCAGACCUGAGUAAGCAUGUUGUGCGUAGCGGCACGGAAGGGCCACACUUUGCCAUCGAACUUGCCGUGUGCGGCCUGCUGUUUGCACCAUGCACGUCGGCAAUGAACGGCCUGACUCAAGUGCUCGUGGUGACGUUUGGAGGGCAGCUCUAUAACUAUCUUGUCAAAGGUGGACGGGAGUCAUCGCUCCAGUACCGUUUUGACUUCUCGGCGCAUUCCAUUGAACUCGUCUCCGCUGUCACCUACUCCCCCAGCAAGAACUUGCUGCUUGUUGCUGCGUGCACGCAAACCAAAUCUCACGAGAAGAAAUCGUCGUCAGCUUCCGCUAGUAGUGGAAUGGUUCAGGUGUCUGUCCUCGCCUGGAGACUGUUGGACUCUGAACCGCAUUGUGCACGUUCUGUCGUCUCUGGAGAUCUUGGAUCGAGUCCGACAUCCCAGGACAUGCUCACGACUGUGCGCCGGAUUCGUCUGUUUGCUGGUAGCGCUGGUGCCAAUGUCGAAAAGGCUGUAAUAACACACAUGGCUCUAAGUCCGGACGGCAGUACACUGGCCACGGUGGACUGCGGCGGUACACUACACCUGAGAGAUGUGCCAUCACUGAGAGUGACACACACGUAUUCCUAUGCAGAACAGUUCCCGGAAGAUCCAGCAAAACUCUCGCUGCCCAGCUUUGCUGUCAAGAAGAAGAAGAAGGAGUUCUCCAGCAUCAUGAACGUCUUCUCUGACAUCAGCUGGUGGUCGGAGGAGGCUGUGAUUCUUGCAUGCGAUCGUGGUGACGUCGUUGUCUCGUCGUUUCCGAACAAAGAAAGUCUGCACAAUCGGCUUGGGGUACCUGAAGUGCUGGAGCCGUACCCUGCACUCGCAUCGGUUGCUGGUGCUGGUGGCUUCUAUGCCCUAGAGUGCGAUCGGCAGUUGGUGUCGCAAGACCGGCCUCGCCGUGCGGACUCCAGAGACGUAGCGGAACCGGUGUCCUCCGAUGAAGGAGACGGCGGUGCGGCAAGAAAGCCCAGGGAAGAGGACGGCGACGAUGAUGACGACGAGGAAGAAGAGGACGACGAAGACACGCCUCUCCUGCGCCGCCUGACCCGACGCUCCGCUACGGCUGGGAAGCAGAUGCUGUACUAUUUGACGGAGAGCGAUCGCUUCAGGACCGAGCCGAAGCGGCCCAAGGUGCCGCAGUUCACCUACCGUCUGUUCAGCCUGCAGUCGCGCACUCCCGAGGAGCUCUUCUAUCGACGGAUCACUGCUGAAGAAUACGGCGAGGCACUGCGCUUGGCACAGUGUUACGGCCUAGACAAGGAUCUGGUCUACCAGAGCCAGUGGAACGCCAGUUCUGCAUCACCUCACACUAUCCAGGAUUAUCUGGCCAAGAUCAGCAAACACUCGUGGGUGUUGAGUGAAUGUCUUCAGCGUAUUCCUGAUCGCUACGACACUCUGAUGGACCUACUGAACUACGGUCUGCUGCGCACCCAGUCCAGUGCUGUUCUGCAGCUGUCUGCUAUCCCUGGUAUUGAGCAAGGCACUUCCCAUGCUGCUAGUGGUGCAGAUGCUGCUGACUGGGCUGGGAGUAUCGGUGGUGGUGCUGAGGUGGAUCAGUUUGGCAAUCCCGUUUUCGAAACGCCAGUCGAGCGACAGCUGCGGGAGGAGAAGAUCUGGGACGAGCGGGCGAAGAAACUUCGGUUUGCUGCGUUGAGUGAAGAGCAGCAGAUGAUGGUGAAGAGUCGUGUGCAGCUUCUGCAGUAUAAAGAUAGGCUUGUCACCUACGAGUCUGUUCUUGGAAGGGACAGGGUCGACGAGGACUACAGCGUGGAGUUCUUCCGCAAGUUCCGUGAUGCCAAUCUCGUCCAGUCUGCACUGCAGUUUGCACAGGCUGCCGAGUGGAAGUCCGUUGAUGCAUUGUUCUGUCUCCAUGGAGAUGAGACCCUGCCGCAUAGAUUGGCCAUCCUGUCCCAUUUCCCGGAGACUAUGGAUCCUAAGGAGUACAAGUACUUGCUGCCGGAGCUCAGUGAGCGCGGUGAUGUGGUGGAGUUUAUCGGCGAGGAUCAGCGACCGCGGGACUGGGCUGAAGAGUUGCUUGAGCGGACGUACGGUGCUCACACUGACGCCGGAGAAUUCCUCUACACGGACACGCCAUCACUAGCUGCAUUCCGUGGCAAGCUGACGUCCCCGGUGGUGACUCACUGGUACAAGCAGCGCGCCGUUCAGAUCGAGUCACUGGCUGGUUUGGUGGAGAACAGUUUGAAACUGAUCACACUGGGCACGGAGCGCAACGUCAAGGGCCUGGACGGUUUGCAUGCCGAUUUGCUCACGCUGGAGACGCUGGUGUAUGAGUGUGGACAUGAUGUGACCUUGAAGCGCCUGCUGUCCAUGCCGCUGAGCGAACAGCUGGAGUUGAUACUGUCGCGGGCUCAGUCCGACGAUAGUGCAAUGUUCGUACGUGAUGUUCGCUGCUGGGCAAUGCCAUUGCUAAAAAAUGCUGAGAAACGUGGUGGCAGAGCCAGUGGUGCUGACCUGCUUGCAGACUACUUGCUGAAACGUGCCAAGGAUGAUCUUCGCUUGCCACUGGCUGUGUUCGAGGCGUCCGUUGGGAGCAAGCCGAUCAUCGACGACAAAGCCAAUCUUGUGCGCAUCGCACUCAGCUGCAUCUACGCCUGUGAAAGUGAAGAUCAGCUCAGCCUGUCGGAUGCUAUUGUACGCUGCUUGCCGUCAUCCAAGUCAAGCACUGCAAAGCAGCACCGAGAUCUUCUGCAGCAAGUCGACAAGCUUGAGGAACAUCUGGCCGCGGCUGAGGUGAUCUGCAGCUAUGACGUCAAGGUGUCGAUUCGCACUAUCAACAAUGUUCAGAGCGACGCCGCUGAAGUGGAGAAAGUGUUGAUGAAGCUGGCGCGGCAUGUUGCCAGGAGAUCGUGUAUGGAGUACUCUGAGUAUAGAGCACUGAUCGAUGAUAUCCUCAGGCUGCAGUGUGGUGUCUUCAGUGCAGUGACCGAGUACCGUUGCUACGAGAUCGUAGCGCGUGCACUGCUUGCGUCUGGCAAGCAAGCUCACCUGGUUCUUGCCGACGGUCUGCUGUCAGGCAGUGAUCAGCCGAUGGUGACCACCAUUCGCCCGGCGUCCGCUACGGGUGUGGGCGGUGGCCGCACGCCUUCCUCCGGAUCUCCGAGUCUCAACUCACUCCGCCACCGGUCCAGCUCGUUGCAGCCGAUAGCGUAUCGUAUUCCGUUCGACAGGUCGCUGACACUGGUGGUCGACUCUGCCAGAGAGUACUUCAACUCUGCGGCAAGCCUGGAUGACCCCGACAUGAUUCUUGCAUGCGAGUGUCUGGAUCUCAUUAAAGUCGAGUCCCCUGCUAUUCAAGCAGAGCUGAACCUGGUUAAUGCUGUGAAGCUCCUUAAUGACUUCUCAGUGCCGAUUCUCCCGUUGCAAGUGCGUCUGCACGAGAAUCGACUAUCUCUCGUGAAGAGUUGUAUAGCCGCAAGCCCCACGUCUUACAAGGACAGCGAGAAGCUUCUCUCUUUGGGCAUGCUGUUGACAUCGGGCGCCGAAGCCGUAUCGCCGACCUCAUCCAUGUCACAACUAGACGACGAACAUGCCGGUAUAAUCCUCAUGUGGAUCGCAGACAAGGCUUUGCAGGUGAAUGAUACUAGUUUUGCCAGUGAGACUCUCACGAAGCUCAUGGAUGUCAGCCAUGGUCCUGCUUGGAAACUCUGCAGAACUCUCGGGCUGUGCGAAGCCGCCGGUGACUUGACGUUCAGACGCCGUUUGCUGUCGUUUGCCAUCACUCACUGUCCGUCCGAUGCUAUGGAGCAACUGCUGGAGAACAUUCAUCUGUUGGAGGCUAAGUUCCUGUACUGUGAAGCCACAGAGCAUAGUUCAUCUAUCGUGCGGAGGGGCACUGCUGUUGUACAGUCGGUGGUGAUGCGCAGUGCGGACGCCGUCCAGUCCGUAAUGGACUCGUCCACCGUCAGCCGUGUCAUGGACAGGGCCAGCGCGGUGACAUCGUUUGUCAGCAUGGGUGCGGGCACCGUCACGCAGAUAGUGCGCGCUGGUGACCUGGGCAGUGGUGUGUCUGACAGCCGGGUGGGCAAGAGUGCUGGUGAGAUCAUGGACAGCUGUCGUGGCUGGAUGCAGACAGCGUCGUCCUACUGGCCUUCUUCUCUCACCACCGCCCAAACCUCCGAUGCCACGUCAUCGGCACCAGGCACGUCGGAGAACAACGCACCCAUGGCCCGGGGCAGUGUGGACGGCCAUGGCGAGCACCCAACCGGUGUGUUGAUGCAAGCUCAUUGUCAUCAGUUCUACACGGAUGUGUUCGCACGCGGAUCGGUAUCUGAUGACUGCUUCAGCUACUCGCACCUGUUCCAGGAAAGGUCUCAGCUCUCUCAGCAGAUCUCCCUGAAGCAAGGACUGCUGAGGACGUGCCGCAUUGUGGAGCAGCAGAAUCGUACUCCAGUGGAUGAAGCGGAAAUCACGCAAGUCUUGCUGCAACUGGCCGAGGACUGUUUGUUGACGGACACGUCUCUAGCAUUGUCCUACCUGCUCACUUUGCCAAAGGUUGACUCUGCAAACGUGCUGUUCGACCGCCUCCCAUCCUGCUUGCUCACCUACCAACUAGCCAUCUUUUACUACUGCUUGCACGUCUAUGCCCGCUGUGAGGUCAUCGUCAACAGCAGUAGUGCUGGCAAGGACACUUCGCAGGCUGACAAUAAGAAGCCUGACAAGGCAGCAGCUGCAGGCGGAAAGUCGAAGAAGGCACAGCGGGCCGCGAAGCAGGCGCCAGCGCAAACAUCUAGCUCUGCUCUGCCGUUGUUGAACCGCGCAUACAGCAGCUCCCCUGGCGAGAUUGUCCAGUGGGUGCUCGAUAAGAGCGGGCAGGUUGGUGAAAAGACAGACUCGGGUGACCUCAAUUGUGCUGAUCUAGAGCGUAUGCGUACCGAGGACCUUGCUGGUGGCUUGCGGAUCUAUCGGGAUCGACUGGCAGACUUUGUGCAGGCUGGUAUCUUGAGAGAGUUGGACGAUGGCAUUGAUGCAACGCGCUUUACGACCGACACCAGCUACAAGCGCGAGGUGAUUCUGUCGCUGUCGCGUCGCCUGGACGCCCAGUCGGUGAGCACGGCCCUGUCACUGAGCCGCCGCUAUGACCUGGGCGAGUGGCCGGUGUACAUGGAGCAUGCCAUCUUCCUCUUCAACAAUAGCCAACUCUCGUGGAACGACAUUCACGAACGGUUGACUGGCGAGCGGCUGCCGAGUCGAGAUAAUGGUGCGGCCACUGCUUCCAUCGGCGGCGAUACAUCGAGCAAUCGCGGUACAGCCGUUGUGGAAAUUCUUCUAUCCGACGCACAGAAGUUUGCUGAUCGUCUCCGCAGUGAUAUAUUUCCCAACCUGGAUGGCUGUGAUCAUGCACGUUUGCUGCUCUACUAUGACCUCCUUCAGCAGUGUGUCGGCCGUGGUGCUACAGAUGAGAAACCGAUUUCGGCAGUGCAACAUUCCAAGUCUCUGAAGAAGCUGAAGGCAGCAGUGCCUGGGCUGGAUUACAAGCAGUUAGUGUAUGGGUCGUCACCGCUGGAUGCCAUUCGCCCUGUUGUCAUGGCAUCCAACGUUCACGUCAUUGCCAAGAUGGUGGCAAAGUUGCCUGUGGCGGAUGGGUUCCUCUCUGCCAGCCGUGUGUUCGCUGCCUUCUGCAUCAAACUCUUCUGGGACGGCGAGGGCAAGAAGAAGACGGCCGAGAGCAGUAUGGACUGGGUGCAUCGGUAUGAAGCCGCUCAAGAGUACGUUUCUAAACUGUCGGCGGCCGACCUCCUGCAGUUCUGCCAGUCUAUGAUGUACUCGCAGCAGGCUUAUGAGCUUGUUCAAGUUGAAGCUCGCCUGGAGAUUUGCCGUCGCUGCACCAAGCUUUGUCGUCAGCUUGCUAACCCAUCUCAGCCCGGUCAGCUGAAGAAACGUGGCUCGACCGUGGGUAGCAGUGCGGCAGCCACGACAGAUGCAGAAGGUGAAACAUCAUAUGAAGAGGCAGUGCGCUACUUGCAGCGUUGUCUCUCACACCUGGAUUCUCUGCAAAACAGCGCCAUCAGCGAAUUGAAGGACAUAGAUACGCACUCGUCCACCGACUAUCACCGACGAUACAGCACUACACCUGCACAGCCGGAGCAGGUGGUGUCCCUGUGCACGGACCUGAUAACCAGCAGCGGUUGCUCGCUGCGCCUGGUGGACGACAUUCUCGCGUUGGCCAGCACGGUCUGCCCGCAUGGCACACAUCUCUCACGCAUGGUGCGCGACUUGAUCAGCCAAGCUCUGGACAGUAUUGGCAAUGGUGAGGAUGAGUUUUCCAGACUGUCCAGCUCGCUCUCCUCAGUCAGCACAUACUUGGAGUCGGGUGGCCAGUCGUUGCGCAGCAGUGACAUUGUGGAGUUGUUGCGUGCGUUCUGCGCCCAGAGCAAUAUCCAGAUGUCGUCGAGACUCUCCGUACUGCGAUUGCUGCAGCAGUCAUUCCACUUGUCCGAGGAGGACGAGGCACUGCUGCUGUUCUGCAACACCGCCGCUACCGUCAAACAGAUCUUUGAGCUGGAGAUCGAAGCUAGUGAAGUCGCCGAUUCAGCCAAGCGUCUGGAGUUGUUUGAGCGCCUGCUGUCACUCUGCGAGGAGAACCCAUCCUGUCUUUCUGGUGUUGCUGAGCUUAUCAACAUGUGGCCUCCGCUUCCAGCAUGUACUGAUGGUCGUAGUGCAUGGAGUGUGCUCUUCCUGAGAAUGCUAUCAAGCACUGACAGUAGCAAGGAGGACAACAGCAGCAGCAGCAGCAGCAGCAGAACUACUGUCCAGUUGUCAGCUGAAUGUGUACUGCAGCACCGACAGGCAGCCGUGUCUUGUCAGCAACAGACUCUCAAGGACGAUGAUGUUGUCGUUGACAUGCUGUUGUCAGCUGGUCAGACAGUGUCCGCUAUCAAGUAUUGCAUCAUUCCUGGUCACGAGCAGCUCAGAGCGCGAGCAAUUCAACUGCUUUCUGAGCACGAACAGCUGGAUAUUGCCGAGGAUGAUACCAGCUUGUCGGAACUAAUCAUUUCUCAUCAGAUGGCGGCCGGUGUUGCAGCCACCCCGUUCUGGGCCACUCACGUACGGCACAUGGCCCGGCUGAAUGCUGUGCAAGACUCCACCGACAACGGGCAAGCGGACCCCAGCGGCGGGAGCACUGCCGUGGCAACGGAUGACGACGCCGUUGCUAAGGAGCUGUGCGAUGCCGACCGUCCCGUCGAGGCUGGCUCGGUGCUGAUGUCGCUGCGCAACACGGCCGGUGCGCUGGCCACGUUUGACGCUUCUCUAUCCAUGGUCAGUAGCUGGUGGUCAGGUGCUGGUAGUGCUGGUAGUGCUGGUAGUGGUGGUGGGGAGAAGUGAUCAUCCGGUCUGCACGAGUGCGCUGUGCGAAUGCGCUGUGCGAGUGCACCGUGGUCUGCUGGCUCAUGGUUCAUACCUCCCAGUCCUUGUCUGACAUUUUCGUUCUUUUUCUUCGUAGUGGACAGGUGUGGUGGUGGUGGUGGUGGUGGGGAGAAGAUAUCAUUCGUUCUGCACCCCCUGCAUCCAUGGUCAGCAGACUCCAUUGCACCGCCUGGAACCUUAGUUCUGGUUUAUGGGUGAUGUUUAAGGUGGCAUUCCCCUCCCACAUUUGUCAGGGGGUCAACAUAGCUGGUGCAUAGGUGGUGAGAAGUGAUCAUCCAUUCUGCACGAGCCCGUCGUACGAAUGUGCCGUGAUCUGCUCGUUCAUAUCUCCUAGUCCUUGUCUGGCAUUUUCGUACGUUUACUUCCUAGGUUUCGAUGUACCAUCGCCUGCUGACUAAAUGCAUUUGGUGUGGUGGAAAAAAGCCACGAAACAUACGUUUUUUGUAGCUGUGCACAAUUUGUCAGUCUAUCCCUGUCCUUUUCACUGCUUAUUACUAGGAUUCGAUGCCCCCCCCCCCCCCCCCCUAAAUUUCUUUGCUUUUAUUUCUUUGCACGCUUGUCAUUUUCAUGCUUCAGCACCGGCUGUCUUUCUUCCAUACUAGAAAAAGAUGUGCCCUUCUCACAAAAUAUUUACCCUGACCUUCUAUCGCCAUUUUGAAGCCCAUAGAUUUUUGGAAUAUUUUUUCUACUUCAAAGUUUGCCUGCUUCCCUGAAUCACUCAUGUGGCGCGUUUGAUUGGUGCGAUCUAGAACAGGAUCGAACAGCUCGUGUACAAGGAGCAGCAUCAAACCAACCAAACAAUACUCCAGAAACACAGAAUACAUAACAUUUUGAUGGGGAAAUUGCGCCAAGCUUGUGCCAAGCUUGAUAGAAUUCAACGAAAUUUACAAGUUACUUUGUACGGUAUACAGUGAGUGCAAUAAAUACAUCGAGUCGUAAACUACCGGUAUUUUACUACUCCCUGGUAAAAUGCAACCCAAGAGCGAUAAUUUUGGACCCAAAUCGAUGCUCCUGCCAGGUUUCACCGUGGAAAAACUGAGCUGCUCAGGCUGCUACGGGUUCCAGGUUGGAGCACGCACAACGUGUGCUGGCCGAUCCAGAACAGGUUCAGUCGCAAGCAAAGGCACCAGUACACUGUACAGCAGGGAGCCCUUUUUCUUCGUAGUGGACAGGUGUGGUGGUGGUGGUGGUGGUGGGGAGAAGAUAUCAUUCGUUCUGCACCCCCUGCAUCCAUGGUCAGCAGACUCCAUUGCACCGCCUGGAACCUUAGUUCUGGUUUAUGGGUGAUGUUUAAGGUGGCAUUCCCCUCCCACAUUUGUCAGGGGGUCAACAUAGCUGGUGCAUAGGUGGUGAGAAGUGAUCAUCCAUUCUGCACGAGCCCGUCGUACGAAUGUGCCGUGAUCUGCUCGUUCAUAUCUCCUAGUCCUUGUCUGGCAUUUUCGUACGUUUACUUCCUAGGUUUCGAUGUACCAUCGCCUGCUGACUAAAUGCAUUUGGUGUGGUGGAAAAAAGCCACGAAACAUACGUUUUUUGUAGCUGUGCACAAUUUGUCAGUCUAUCCCUGUCCUUUUCACUGCUUAUUACUAGGAUUCGAUGCCCCCCUCCCCCCCCCUAAAUUUCUUUGCUAUUAUUUCUUUGCACGCUUGUCAUUUUCAUGCUUCAGCACCGGCUGUCUUUCUUCCAUACUAGAAAAAGAUGUGCCCUUCUCACAAAAUAUUUACCCUGACCUUCUAUCGCCAUUUUGAAGCCCAUAGAUUUUUGGAAUAUUUUUUCUACUUCAAAGUUUGCCUGCUUCCCUGAA